AUACUUGCUUUUAAAAAUCUAAUUAAAACUUUCUUUUUGGUCCUUAGGUAGAAAGAUGGCUCUGCUGAGAUGAGCUCUUAAUUAAUGCACUGAGAGCCUGCGAGUCCCACCUCUCAACAGGAAUGAUUGACGUCCAAGGAUACAUAAAUUACACUAAUUGAGCUCUGCCUCUAUAUAGCUUUCCACAGCCAACUCAUCAGAGAAGCUAGGCUUGUACCACAACCAAUAUCUCUGCUUGGCAACUCUAAUGAGCAAACUGCCACAAAACUGAGAGAGAACACGCCUUUUUGAUUUCCUGCUCUUCUAAGACAAAGUGAUUUAGAAUUUCUGCGCAAGCAAGAGAACUAAAGAAGAAAAGAGGAAAAGAAGGUAAGUCCCAGGAACUAAAAUGUCUCCAGUUUUAGAGGCUUCUUCAAAUAUGCAGCUUGUUCAUCUUGAC
rnacentral:lncRNA from 1 species